rnacentral:rRNA from 1 species
GGCGGCAGGCUUAACACAUGCAAGUCGAGCGCCCCGCAAGGGGAGCGGCAGACGGGUGAGUAACGCGUGGGAAUCUACCCAUCUCUACGGAAUAACUCAGGGAAACUUGUGCUAAUACCGUAUACGCCCUUCGGGGGAAAGAUUUAUCGGAGAUGGAUGAGCCCGCGUUGGAUUAGCUAGUUGGUGGGGUAAUGGCCUACCAAGGCGACGAUCCAUAGCUGGUCUGAGAGGAUGAUCAGCCACACUGGGACUGAGACACGGCCCAGACUCCUACGGGAGGCAGCAGUGGGGAAUAUUGGACAAUGGGCGCAAGCCUGAUCCAGCCAUGCCGCGUGAGUGAUGAAGGCCCUAGGGUUGUAAAGCUCUUUCAACGGUGAAGAUAAUGACGGUAACCGUAGAAGAAGCCCC